GCGUUAUCCGGAAUCAUUGGGCGUAAAGCGCCUGUAGGUUGUUUAUUAAGUCUGUUGUUAAAGACUAGGGCUUAACCCUAGAAAAGCAAUGGAAACUAAUAGACUAGAGUAUGGCAGGGGUAGAGGGAAUUUCUAGUGUAGCGGUGAAAUGCGUAGAUAUUAGAAAGAACACCGGUGGCGAAAGCGCUCUACUGGACCAUUACUGACACUCAGAGGCGAAAGCUAGGGUAGCAAAAGGGAUUAGAUACCCCUGUAGUCCUAGCCGUAAACGAUGGAUACUAGAUGUUGUGCAUUAUGUACAGUAUCGUAGCUGACGCGUUAAGUAUCCCGCCUGGGGAGUACGCUCGCAAGGGUGAAACUCAAAGGAAUUGACGGGGGCCCGCACAAGCGGUGGAGCAUGUGGUUUAAUUCGAUGCAACGCGAAGAACCUUACCAGGGCUUGACAUACUACGAAUUUUCUUGAAAGAGAAAAGUGCCUUCGGGAAUGUAGAUACAGGUGGUGCAUGGCUGUCGUCAGCUCGUGUCGUGAGAUGUUGGGUUAAGUCCCGCAACGAGCGCAACCCUUAUUUUUAGUUACCAAUUCGUUGGGUUCUCUAGAAAGACUGCCGGUGACAAACCGGAGGAAGGUGAGGAUGACGUCAAGUCAGCAUGCCCCUUAUGUCCUGGGCUACACACGUGCUACAAUGGUUAAGACAAAGGGUUGCGAGCUUGUAAAAGUCAGCUAAUCUC
rnacentral:rRNA from 1 species